CACCAAGCUCUGUUUGGGGUAGUUUCGGCGAAACUACCCCAAACCAGUUUCACCAAAUGGGGUAGGUUCUGAUUGGCCACUUCCAAACUACCCCAUGGGGUAGUUUUUAUUUUACCCCAAAUUUGCCAUGCAAACAGAUGCUCACGGUCCGUGAGCAUCUGAACAAGCCAAUCAAUCAGCUGUUUGCCGGCAAUUCUACCCCAAAUAUCCGACCAAAAUUACGGCUGACAUUCGUGGGUGACCUUGAAUACCGGAUGAGGAAGCCUUGAAAUAUAAACAAUAAAAAUGCACAUUCUUCACGGUGGUUAUCUACAUGCUGACGAUGUGUCUUGUUGAAAUGAUCAUAGUACUUCAACUUGUGUGAUCUAUUCAAAUUAUCAUUCGAGGUAUCUAUAUGCCUUACGGUCAAUGUGCAAAUAUCCAGCAAAUGUCAAGACGCUAACAACUGAAAUAAAAA